rnacentral:misc_RNA from 1 species
GAAGGUACACAGAACAC